CCUACGGGAGGCAGCAGUGAGGAAUAUUGGUCAAUGGACGAGAGUCUGAACCAGCCCAGUAGCGUGAAGGAUGACUGCCCUAUGGGUUGUCAACUUAUUUUAUAUGGGAAUAAAAUGUUCCACGUGUGGGAUUUUGUAUGUACAAUAUGAAUAAGGAUCGGCUAAGUCCGUGCCAGCAGCCGCGGUAAUACGGAGGAACCAAGCGUUAUCCGGAUUUAUUGGGUUUAAAGGGAGCGUAGGUGGAUUUUUAAGUCAGUUUUGCAAGUUUGCGGCUCAACCGUAAAAUUGCAGUUGAAACUGGCAGUCUUGAGUACAGUAGAGGGGGGCGGAAUGCGUGGUGUAGCGGUGAAAUGCUUAGAUAUCACGAAGAACUCCGAUUGCGAAGGCAGCUCCCUGGACUGCAACUGACACUGAGGCUCGAAAGUGUGGGUAUCAAACAGGAUUAGAUACCCUAGUAGGC
rnacentral:rRNA from 1 species